AGCAUGUGGUUUAAUUCGAUACGGCGCGAGAAACCUUACCAAUUUUUGCAUAUAAAAUAUAAAACUUGUGUUACGCGAGUUGUCAUUUAAAAAAAUGAAAAUUUUAUACAGGUGCUGCAUGGCUGUCGUCAGCUCGUGUCGUGAGACGUUGGGUUAAGUCCCGCAACGAGCGCAACCCUUGUCAUUAGUUGCUACAUUCAGUUGGGCACUCUAAUGAGACUGCCGGUGACAAACCGGAGGAAGGUGGGGAUGACGUCAAGUCCUCAUGGCCCUUACAGGGUGGGCUACACACGUGCUACAAUGGCGACUACAGAGGG
rnacentral:rRNA from 14 species